rnacentral:pre_miRNA from 1 species
UUGCAGGCAGCCGACUGAAAUUGUAGACUCGGACAAGACGCGACAAGCGGCCGCCCGAGGCUACAACUUCAGCGGGGUGGCCUGACAA